rnacentral:rRNA from 1 species
GGUUUCCGUAGGUGAACCUGCGGAAGGAUCAUUACCGAGUGCGGGUCCUUUGGGCCCAACCUCCCAUCCGUGUCUAUUGUACCCUGUUGCUUCGGCGGGCCCGCCGCUUGUCGGCCGCCGGGGGGGCGCCUCUGCCCCCCGGGCCCGUGCCCGCCGGAGACCCCAACACGAACACUGUCUGAAAGCGUGCAGUCUGAGUUGAUUGAAUGCAAUCAGUUAAAACUUUCAACAAUGGAUCUCUUGGUUCCGGCAUCGAUGAAGAACGCAGCGAAAUGCGAUAACUAAUGUGAAUUGCAGAAUUCAGUGAAUCAUCGAGUCUUUGAACGCACAUUGCGCCCCCUGGUAUUCCGGGGGGCAUGCCUGUCCGAGCGUCAUUGCUGCCCUCAAGCCCGGCUUGUGUGUUGGGUCGCCGUCCCCCUCUCCGGGGGGACGGGCCCGAAAGGCAGCGGCGGCACCGCGUCCGAUCCUCGAGCGUAUGGGGCUUUGUCACAUGCUCUGUAGGAUUGGCCGGCGCCUGCCGACGUUUUCCAACCAUUCUUUCCAGGUUGACCUCGGAUCAGGUAGGGAUACCCGCUGAACUU